AACGUUCCCCCGCAAUUGGAAGAAGACAUGACUGGUCUUUUGUCUUUUGCAGUCUGGCUUGUGAGAUUUCAUACUCCCAACUUUACCCCUAAAAGAAAUAAUAGUAAAGCCGCCAAAUUUUAGGCGUAAUUGGCGUUGGAUCUGCUCAAACACAAAUACAUAUUUUACACACGCGUCUCUCUAUAGUAUUUGUACUUGAGAAAAAACAUAUUUCUUUAUUAUGUUAUUUAAAACGGAAAUUCAAAACAUAACAUAUAAAAACUUGGUACUGCAAACAAAAAAUCCAAAAUGACAUAAAAAAAAAUACCAAGCCAAACAGUACCGAGUUAGUACUAUUCACAAUACAAAUAUAGAAAGAGUUACCGAGUUAGUACUAUUAAUCUUUUAAAAAAAAAAACAAAAAGAAAAUUAUAAGAUUCACAAAAUCGACAAAGCGCUCAACGGACGACAAGAUCAUCGCUUCCUUUUUUCCUAGUAACACGAAUGUAGCAAAAUACAGCUGCAAAAAUGGCAGUAACAAGACCGCCAAUGAUAACACCACCACCAGCCACUGAUUUAUCAGAAGAAUGAUGCUUUCCAAGCCGUCUAAUCUCCGGAGCUUCAGCUUCUUCCCAUUCAUGGCUUGAUGCGACAGGCUGAUCCGCAACGCUUGGUGAUUUUUUCUCGGAUUCAUCAGCCGUGGCUUGUACAAUCAAGAUUCCAGCAAGAAUCAGGCAAGAAAUUACCAAACGAAGCCUAGCCAUAUACACUGAAAAGGAAAAGACUAGAAAGGAAGAGCAAAGAUAUUCUAUAAGAAAGAGAAAAUAGUAGAAGUGGCUGACUAGUGAAUGUUGGCUAUGUCUAUAUAUAUGGGCGUGGGCGUGGGCGUGAACAGGAAUAGAGUGUGUAGCUUGAAAGUAAAGAGAAGUUUCAGCGUUAAAAACCUAAAGUAGAGCCGCGUGUAAUAAAUUAGUAUUAAGACUAAAGAGAGGAGUUAAGUGGGGCCAGGGUUUGGUUAUUGGGAUUUGGAAGGGAGAGAGAGAGAGAGAGAAACAGUAAUCUGUUGGGUAAGAAAAUGACAAGAGAAACA
rnacentral:lncRNA from 1 species